UAAUAUGUUAGUGAUGAAUGUAACAAAACAUGAGAUUUAAUUUUCUUACAUGUGGAGAACAGUAGAAGACCGAUGAACACCAAAGUUGCUUU
rnacentral:snoRNA from 1 species